rnacentral:lncRNA from 1 species
CAGGCCCCAUCUUUCCCUCCGCCAGUUUUCUGUUCCAUGCUCUCUGUGGCUUAGCUCUUGAGAAAACCUCCCAUCUGUGUGGCUGCAUCUCAUCUAUCUCAUUUCACAGCAAGAUGCUGGCUCUCUCACUGCUUGCCUCAGCUCUGCUACAGGCUCAUCCGCCCAGUGGCAACCACCUCGGCAAGCCCCCCCACUCCGGCCCCCACCAUCCUGCUGCACAUCCAAGUCAAGAGGAGGAUGGGGGAAUUUGUCCAUCGGUUGUUUUCAUUGUUGACACCCAACCCCAAUCUGCUGGAGAGCUGUUCAGAAAGACUCUGCUUCAGAAAGAUCAUCUACCUAUAGAGACACUUGGAUCAGAAGCCACAGGGCAAGGUUACAAGGGUUACUUUCCCACAGUUGGCAAGGCCGUAAUGUUGGACAGUCCUCAUUAACGUCUGUCUGCAUCCCCCUCUGCCCUCCCCUACAACCUUAAAACACACUGAAAUUCCUACUCCUCUGAACAUUGGCUGCAGGGAGUGGGGGCUUUCCCAAGAGAUUUAAUAGCUGAGGACAGUGUUUUGGCUGCUUUCCCAUCUCCACCUCUGCUAGGCCAGGUCACAAGAGACUUAGCACAGAUGGGAGUGAUCCAAUUCCUCCUUUAAUAACAGUGUGAGGCCUGAAGAGGAAGUAAAGCCCCACAGGAUGGGAUGAAACAAGCAGGACCCAAUGAAACCCCAGUGUCUCUUCACCUGGGCAUUGGGACAGGGAAUUGCAUCUCUGGGAAAUGCGAGAGACAGAGAAGGGGGGAAAUUAGAUUUAUUUUCAUUUCCUAUGAAUCCUUUCAGCAGCCCAGGUGUAUUUUCUCUCACCAGCUCUGAUUCUAUUCCCCACCUGCAUCACCUUUGGUCUCAGAGUGCUUUACUAACAUUGGUUAAGCCUCACACUUCUUUGGAGGCAGGGAAAGGUGCAUCACCCUUGUUUAUGGAGAGGAAAGCAUAGCAAGACAAUGGGCCAAAGGAGCAGAGCUGGGAAGUGAAUUUACCGCUCCUGACUCCCACUCCCAGGUGCUGUGACACCAGAUAGCAUCUUCUCCCUCUCCCUUCUAGACCACUGGGGAGAUAGGACUGAGUUUAAAAUCAAUGGCAAGUCAGGGUCUUGUCAUUAUAUCCCCCUUCUGACUCUCGGAGCAGCAGCCUCCUGGCCUGGAAUUUUGAAGGCUACAAAAACCAGAGCAGGGGAGUGAGUUUUAUUGGCGCUGACUGCAUUGUAAGCCACCCCAUGGGUCUGCAGUUCAAAUGCAGACCUCCUAGCAUGUGUUUAGCCAACAGAGAAGAGUGGGAUACUGUUCUAGGAAGCAUUGCGUACCACAACUGUCUGCUUUAAUUCUGGAGGAAACCAAGCCCAAAUGCUGGCUGUUUUGGGGGCUCCCAGCUGCUCUGGGGUAUGCUUCCA